rnacentral:rRNA from 1 species
UACAGAGGUCCCGAGCGUUGUUCGGAUUCAUUGGGCGUAAAGGGUGCGUAGGCGGUCUGCCAAGUUUGGUGUGAAAUCCCGGGGCUCAACCCUGGAAUUGCAUUGAAUACUGGUGGACUAGAGUACCGGAGAGGAAACUGGAAUUUACGGUGUAGCAGUGAAAUGCGUAGAGAUCGUAAGGAAGACCAGUGGCGAAGGCGAGUUUCUGGACGGUAACUGACGCUGAGGCACGAAGGCCAGGGGAGCGAACGGG